rnacentral:rRNA from 1 species
CCUACGGGUGGCAGCAGUGGGGAAUAUUGCACAAUGGGGGAAACCCUGAUGCAGCGACGCCGCGUGAGUGAAGAAGUAUUUCGGUGUGUAAAGCUCUAUCAGCAGGGAAGAAAAUGACGGUACCUGAUUAAGAAGCCCCGGCUAACUACGUGCCAGCAGCCGCGGUAAUACGUAGGGGGCAAGCGUUAUCCGGAUUUACUGGGGGUAAAGGGAGCGUAGACGGCAGCACAAGUCUGGAGGGAAAUGCCGGGGCUUAAACCCGGGACUGCUUUGGAAACUGUGCAGGUAGAGUGCAGGAGAGGUUAGUGGAAGUCCCAGUGUAGCGGUUGAAUGCGGAGAUAGUAGGAGGAACACCAGUGGCGAAGGCGGCUUUAUGGGAUGUAACCGACGGUGAGGCUCGAAAGCGUGGGGAGCAAACAGGAUUAGAUACCCCAGUAGUC